GUGCUCGCUUCAGCAGCACAUAUACUAAAAUUGAAACAAUAUGGAGAUUAGCAUGGCCCCUGUGUAAGGAUGACACACAAACUCGUGAAGCGUUCCAUAUCUAA
ensembl:snRNA U6 U6 spliceosomal RNA